rnacentral:SRP_RNA from 1 species
GCCGGGCACAGUGGUGCGUGCCUGUAAUCCCAGCUACUCGGGAGGCUGAGGCAGGAGAAUCGCUUGAACCCGGGAGGCAGAGGUUGCAGUGAGCUGAAACUGUGCCACUGCACUCCAGCCUGGGCAACAGAGCCAGACUCUGUCUCAA